rnacentral:rRNA from 1 species
GACGAACGCUGGCGGCGUGCCUAAUACAUGCAAGUCGAACGCUGAAGGAGGAGCUUGCUUCUCUGGAUGAGUUGCGAACGGGUGAGUAACGCGUAGGUAACCUGCCUGGUAGCGGGGGAUAACUAUUGGAAACGAUAGCUAAUACCGCAUAAUAGUAGAUGUUGCAUGACAUUUGCUUAAAAGGUGCAAUUGCAUCACUACCAGAUGGACCUGCGUUGUAUUAGCUAGUUGGUGAGGUAACGGCUCACCAAGGCAACGAUACAUAGCCGACCUGAGAGGGUGAUCGGCCACACUGGGACUGAGACACGGCCCAGACUCCUACGGGAGGCAGCAGUAGGGAAUCUUCGGCAAGGGACGGAAGUCUGACCGAGCAACGCCGCGGGAGUGAAGAAGGUUGUCGGAUCGUAAAGCUCUGUUGUAAGAGAAGAACGAGUGUGAGAGUGGAAAGUUCACACUGUGACGGUAUCUUACCAGAAAGGGACGGCUAACUACGUG